GGAUGGGCGGCGACGCGGGAGAGUCGCACCCGGCUGUAAACCGGACGCUCAAGCUGAGUCAGUUCGAAUCUGACCCCAUCCA
rnacentral:tRNA from 1 species